UUCUCGUACAAAUCCCGAAUCUUACUUGGUUUCCAAAUGCGUUUGCUGCCAGGCAGAAAUACAGGUUGAAACCAUCGCAAACCACCAUGGCCACAAGGACCG